rnacentral:rRNA from 1 species
GGAUGCGAUCAUACCAGCACUAAAGCACCGGAUCCCAUUAGAACUCCGAAGUUAAGCGUGCUUGGGCGAGAGUAGUACUAGGAUGGUUGACCUCCUGGGAAGUCCUCGUGUUGCAUUCC